AGUGAACGCUGGCGGUAGGCCUAACACAUGCAAGUCGAACGGCAGCACAGGAGAGCUUGCUCUCUGGGUGGCGAGUGGCGGACGGGUGAGGAAUACAUCGGAAUCUACUUUUUCGUGGGGGAUAACGUAGGGAAACUUACGCUAAUACCGCAUACGACCUACGGGUGAAAGCAGGGGAUCUUCGGACCUUGCGCGAUUGAAUGAGCCGAUGUCGGAUUAGCUAGUUGGCGGGGUAAAGGCCCACCAAGGCGACGAUCUGUAGCUGGUCUGAGAGGAUGAUCAGCCAAACUGGAACUGAGACACGGUCCAGACUCCUACGGGAGGCAGCAGUGGGGAAUAUUGGACAAUGGGCGCAAGCCUGAUCCAGCCAUACCGCGUGGGUGAAGAAGGCCUUCGGGUUGUAAAGCCCUUUUGUUGGGAAAGAAAUCCAGCUGGUUAAUACCCGGUUGGGAUGACGGUACCCAAAGAAUAAGCACCGGCUAACUUCGUGCCAGCCGCCGCGGUAA
rnacentral:rRNA from 1 species